GGAAGAAAGAAAGAAGGAAAGAAAGAAAAAGAGUGAGCAACAUCGCAAUACCAGGAUCAUGGCAAAAAUCCACAUCUGUUCAUGUGGAUAAACACCGGUGCCUUAACCUCAUCGUCCACCUACUCUCCCUCUCCCUAGUCCCCUCCCUCUUUUACUUUUUCCUCCCUACUUUACACAGGUGAAACUCACCAUGGAAAGCCAUCUUCAUCAUCAUCUUCUUCUCCUCCUUCCGUAGAGAGAGAGAGAGAGAGAGAGAGAGAGAGAGAGAAGGAUCCAUGAACAGUCCCAUGCUCAACCUCAGCCAAGAAAAGGAAAAGCAGACAGACCCAAAAGGCCCAUCAUCUCCCGGACGGAGCGGAUACAGAGGUUGGCUGGACCAGCGGCUGCCGGGGCCGACGACCAUGCGGAUGCUGAUGGCCACCACCAUGCCUCCGACGAUGAUGGAAAUGUGGGCGACCAUGGGCUCGGCCCUCGCCAGCUUCAUGUUCAUCUGGGCCAUCAUCCGGCAGUACUGCCCCUACGAGCUCCGCCGCUACGUCGAGAAGCACACCCACCACCUCACCGCCUGCUUCCAACCUUACAUCAAGAUCUCCAUCCACGAGUACACUGGCGACCGGCUCCGGCGCAGCGAGGCCUACGCCGCCGUGGAGGCCUACCUGAGCAAGAACACCUCCAAGAGCGCCAGGCGGCUCAAGGCCGAGCUGGGCAAGGACAGCAACAACGUGGUCCUGACCAUCGAGGAGUCCGAGAGGGUCACCGACGAGUACCAGGGGUCAAGGUCUGGUGGGCCUCGAACAAGAUCGCGUCGCCGCCGCAGCGGUCCCUGACUUACUACCCGGAGCAGGAGAAGAGGUUCUACAGGCUGACAUUCCACAAGAAGCACAGGAGGUCAUCGCCGAGUCCUAUCUGAAGCACGUGAUCAAAGAAGGGAAGGAGAUAAGAUCGAGAAAUAGGCAGAGGAAGCUGUUCACGAACUCGCCGGGUUACAAGUGGCUGUCCAUGAAGUCCACAAUGUGGAGCCACAUCGCUUUCGAGCACCCGGCCACCUUCGACACCAUGGCCAUGGACCCCGAGAAGAAGAGGGACAUUUUGGAGGACUUGGUGACGUUUAGCAAGAGCAAGGAUUUCUACGCCAGGAUCGGGAAGGCUUGGAAGCGGGGUUACCUCCUGUACGGGCCUCCCGGCACGGGCAAGUCGACCAUGAUCGCCGCCAUGGCGAAUUUCCUCCACUACGACGUGUACGACCUCGAGCUCACGGCGGUCAAGGACAACACCGAUCUCCGGAAGCUGUUGAUCGAGACGACGAGCAAGUCCAUCAUCGUGAUCGAGGACAUCGACUGCUCUCUCGACCUCACGGGGCAGAGGAAGAAGAAGGGCGAGAAGCUGCCAGUGGAGGACGACAACGUGGACAAGCUCAACAAGGAUGUUCCCAGGAAAGACUCGUAUGAAGAUACCACCAGCAGGGUCACCCUUUCAGGGCUCUUGAAUUUCAUCGAUGGGUUGUGGUCUGCCUGUGGAGGGGAGAGGAUCAUUGUCUUCACCACCAACUACGUGGAGAAGUUGGACCCUGCGCUGAUCAGGAGGGGCAGGAUGGACAAGCACAUCGAGCUUUCGUAUUGCUGUUUCGAGGGGUUCAAGGUGCUGGCAAAGAACUACCUCAGCCUCGAGACGCAUGCGAUGUUCGAUGCGGUUCGCGGCUUGAUGAGUGAAGUGAAGAUCACUCCUGCCGAUGUUGCCGAGAACCUCAUGCCCAAAUCCCCGAACGAUGAUGCCGAGAAAUGUCUCUCGAGGUUGAUUCAGGCCCUCGAGGAAGCGAAGGAAACGGCUGCCGCCGCCAAGAGAGCCAGCGAAUCCAGAGACGAGGCUGUCGAGGAAGGCGCGCAAGGAGGUGCCGAAUCGAGAGACGGGGCUGGGGCUGCCAAGGAAGAUGCGGUGCCAGACGAAGGACUGAUCGGAAACGAGCUUCAGCAUUUGCAGCAUCAUCUUUCACGGUAAAACUGAUUAUCAUGCCACAAGAAGCCAUGAUGAUCUUUGGUCUGGAGGGGUAAUUUGAUGAAAUGCCUUUUUGUAAGUUUUCGAGAAAGAAGGAAUAUGUCGAGGCGACGUGUGUAGGAGGUCCAAAGAGUUGAUCGUUUUUCUUAUUUGUCUAUGCUUUUUACUUUUCUGGAAAGCUUAUGCUGUUUCCUAGAAA